UACAGAGGUCUCAAGCGUUGUUCGGAAUUACUGGGCGUAAAGGGCGCGUAGGCGGCCUGCUAAGUCGAACGUGAAAUCCCCAGGCUCAACCUGGGAACUGCGUCCGAUACUGACAGGCUUGAAUCCGGGAGAGGGAUGUGGAAUUCCAGGUGUAGCGGUGAAAUGCGUAGAUAUCUGGAGGAACACCGGUGGCGAAGGCGGCAUCCUGGACCGGUAUUGACGCUGAGGCGCGAAAGCUAGGGUAGCAAACGGG
rnacentral:rRNA from 1 species